AAUGAACGCUGGCGGCAGGCCUAACACAUGCAAGUCGAACGAGUGGCGGACGGGUGAGUAACGUGUGGGAAACUGCCUGAUGGAGGGGGAUAACUACUGGAAACGGAAGCAAAUACCGCAUACCAUCAGAUUUGCCCAGAAGGGAUUAGGUAGUAGGUGGGUUAUUGGCUCACCUAGGCGACGAUCCAUAGCUGGUCUGAGAGGGUGAUCGGCCACACUGGAACUGAGACACGGUCCAGACUCCUACGGGAGGCAGCAGUGGGGAAUAUUGCACAAUGGGCGCAAGCCUGAUGCAGCCAUGCCGCGUGUGUGAAGAAGGCCUUCGGGUUGUAAAGCACUUUCAGCGAGGAGGCGGUACUCGCAGAAAAAGCCCCGGCUAACUCCGUGCCAGCAGCCGCGGUAAUUC
rnacentral:rRNA from 1 species